rnacentral:tRNA from 1 species
GGGGUGUUAGUAAAUCAAUUACAUGGCCCUGUCAAAGCCAAACUAUAGGUGAAACCCCUAUACACCCCC